rnacentral:tRNA from 1 species
UCCUCGGUAGCUCAGUUGGUAGAGCACACGACUGUUAAUCGUAAGGUCGCUGGUUCGAGUCCAGCCCGAGGAG